CAGAUUAGUUUAGAGAAAGAGGAACAUGCAGGCAAAGGCCUGCAGGUUUGAGUAACUGUGAUAUAUUCCAGGAAUCAAUGAUUAGUUAAAAAUUGCUCAAGCAUCAGUGAGAAAAGUUGAGAAAUAGAAAAGAAACUAAGAGAUGGAAGAGACUAAUCUUGAUGUUUCUUGCUUGUCAUAUAUAAGGGUCACGUGAGAAAUGCAAUGAUGUUUUACUUUAGGAAAUACGGAGCUAUGAAGAAUUUUGAGAGAAGGAGGACCACGACCAGCUGUGAAUCUGAGAGAGCACUCAGCAAUCGUACAAGAACUGAAUAUGUAGAAAAGAUGAAAUAAUAAAAUGUCUAGGAUGCGCUUUAAAAUACUUAAGGAAAAGAGAAGUUUUGGCAUACCACCCAAGGAAAAAGAGUUCACAGAGCAUUGCAAGUAUAUCUCAAGUCUGUUCUUAUGUAGCUUACACUGCAGGCCGCAAAGAACUGUUACAAGCAGCUAUUCUACAGACGUUCAACAUAAGAUACCUAAAUCAAGGAUUAAGAGCAAGAAUGAACAAGAAAUAGGCCCAUGGGCAACGUGAAAGCAUUUUGUAGGCAUUGGCUAUGGUGCUAGAGAACAGAGACUGAGAGCAAAACACAGCACGGUACCUGCCCUCAAGGAGACCACAACCUGAUAGAAGAAACUGACAAAUAAGCCAGCAAUGAUAGAGAGAAUAUCAGAGCAUUAUGGAAACAGACAAGCAAGGAUCUCACUCUUCUUGGGAGCUGGGGCUCAAGUGGAAAUUGUUACCUCUAAACCCGAGAGGAUGACUUUUUCUGUUAAUUCAAAUGGCCCAAUGAAGCUGGUACUGAAAGAUAAAGAGGAUGGGAUCUAAAACAGACAUUGAAAUGGAUCUGAAAGCAAAGAGGGGCAUAUAGCAGAGAUGAGAGUCACCACUGAGGAAUCUACUGUGAGCAGAAGACACACGUGUAUAGAGAUAUUAGUGGCACAAUGCAAAGGUGGCAUUGUAGUAAAAAAAGACGUAUCAACGCACACUGAGUGGCAUAGGACCUGCGAAUAAGGGCUGACGUGAAUAAGUACCCUAGUAGCUCAAGGAGUGGAUGUUGAGCUUGGCCAGAAGGUUUAAAGAAGAUUUCCUGGAUAAAAUGGACUUGAGCCUUUCUUCACAAGAAGCAGUCUAGUGCAGAGAGCCCACUGGAGAUGAAGGUUUGAAAUGGACCAAGAAUUUCAGCACCUCACAUUUCCCAUGCUGGCCCUGCUAGUAAUUCCAGCAAUUCCAGAGGCUUUAAAGCAUAGAAAUGGGUUCUUUUUUUUUUUUUUUAACAACUUUAUUGGAGUAUAAUUGCUUUACAAUGGUGUGUUAGUUUCUGUUGUAUAACAAAGUGAAUCAGCUAUACAUAUACAUAUCUCCCCAUAUCCCCUCCCUCUUGCGUCUCCCUCCCACCCUCCCUAUCCCACCCAUCUACGUGGUCACAAAGCACCGAGCUGAUCUCCCUGUGCUAUGCAGCUGCUUCCCACUAGCUAUCUAUUUUACAUUUGGUUCCUUUAUACAGCGUUUUGCCACAUGUGGCUCCACAUUAAAUAUCAACUUUUAUAUAUUUUACAUAUAUUUUUAUGUUUUUUGUUAUAAAAUAUAUAUAUAUAUCUAUGUAAUUUUUUUUUUUUUUUUUUGCAGUACGCGGGCCUCUCACUGUUGUGGCCUCUUCCGUUGUGGAGCACAGGCUCCGGACACACAGGCUCAGCGGCCAUGGCUCACGGGCCCACCGCUCCGCGGCAUGU